rnacentral:rRNA from 1 species
ACGGCUCAGUAACACGUGGAUAACCUGCCCUUGGGUCCGGCAUAACCCCGGGAAACUGGGGAUAAUUCCGGAUAACGCACAUAUGCUGGAAUGCUUUAUGCGUAAAAUGGAUUCGUCUGCCCAAGGAUGGGUCUGCGGCCUAUCAGGUAGUAGUGGGUGUAAUGUACCUACUAGCCUACAACGGGUACGGGUUGUGAGAGCAAGAGCCCGGAGAUGGAUUCUGAGACAUGAAUCCAGGCCCUACGGGGCGCAGCAGGCGCGAAAACUUUACAAUGCGGGAAACCGUGAUAAGGGGACACCGAGUGCCAGCAUCAUAUGCUGGCUGUCCAGGUGUGUAAAAUACACCUGUUAGCAAGGGCCGGGCAAGACCGGUGCCAGCCGCCGCGGUAACACCGGCGGCCCGAGUGGUGAUCGUGAUUAUUGGGUCUAAAGGGUCCGUAGCCGGUUUGGACAGUCCUCCGGGAAAUCUGACGGCUUAACCGUUAGGCUUUCGGGGGAUACUGCCAGGCUUGGAACCGGGAGAGGUAAGAGGUACUACAGGGGUAGGAGUGAAAUCUUGUAAUCCCUGUGGGACCACCUGUGGCGAAGGCGUCUUACCAGAACGGGUUCGACGGUGAGGGACGAAAGCUGGGGGCACGAACCGGAUUAGAUACCCGGGUAGUCCCAGCCGUAAACGAUGCUCGCUAGGUGUCAGGCAUGGCGCGACCGUGUCUGGUGCCGCAGGGAAGCCGUGAAGCGAGCCACCUGGGAAGUACGGCCGCAAGGCUGAAACUUAAAGGAAUUGGCGGGGGAGCAC